rnacentral:lncRNA from 10 species
AGCAUAACUGUGGGAGAAUAGUAAGCAUUGGACACAAAAUGGAAAAGCUGACCUUCUGGUACGGAAGAGCAUGAGCAGUGAGUGAGCAGUGCCCAUGCGUUGUGAGGCGGCCUCCAUGGUAUAAGGUUUAGGCAAAUAAUGAUGAACAAAAAUGGUCAGUCUGUGUUCCUGCUGACCCAGCACAGUGGGGACGCUGUGUAGGACAUGACCUUUGGGGGAAAGGACACAAGAACUCAGCGUGGGGGAUCCAGAAAAGAAGUCGCACGUAUUGAAGCCAGUAACGCCAAGCCAGUGAAUUCUCCUUGACGAGAAAGACCCACUUACUCUGCAGAAGAGAUAUAUGACAGCUGACAAUCCCUGGAGGAGAAUCUUUCUACUAAAUUGGUAAGGGAUGCUAAGCAAAUGAUGUGGACUCAGGAAACAACGCAUUUCAUGAUAUACGGUUGCCUCUCAAGGUGAAUUCGAGACCCCUCUUGAAUUACAAAGAGUUGAAAACAUUCAAGUACGGAAUAAACUAUUACUGCGAAUACGCUCAUAUGACACAAGAACAAUCUCUGAGCUUCUUUGAGGAUGUCCAGAUGACUGCUGACUGCACUAAUUGCAUCAAUCGUGUAUCCAUACAGGUUCUUUCUAUAAAAUAGUGGUCGCUAGUUAUGAGGCGUUAAGCCUUCAUGGAUAUAAACAGACUAUUCCACCUAAGUGAUCUGGCAGAAGCUUAGUUUUCUACCACAACAUCCACCGUCCUCCCUCCCUCCCUUCCUAGCUGGUCAGAAAAGCUACUCAGAAUAAAGACUACAUUUCCCAGCCAUCUUUGCAGCUAGGUUUAUCCACCUGACUAAAUUCCACCG